CAGCCCGGGGACAGAGAGUGGUCGCAGAUUAGAUCCUGGAUGGCCGUGUCCUGGAUCUCCGUGGAGUCGAAGUGGACGCUGCGAUAGGGGCUACGCAGAGUCCGGUGACCUCCGGGGUAACACUCUGGAGCUGGAAGUUCCAGAUCUGUGAAUUUAAUCAUGAGGAAAUGAAAAACUGCAGUAUCUCAGGCCCUGAUUCCCCCCGGAGUCGUGUCUUUAUCUUUGACUGAGUCCUAGUGUGAGGUCUGACAACAGACGGGAUGAAGAUAGACAAAACAAAAGCCACACAAGCCUGCGAGGGAAAUAUGGAGGAGUUAACUUUCUCCCCCUCAAUUACACUUGAAUGUGGACGUUUGUUCUUUGGGGGUAAACAGUUACAUCCAAGGUCGAUGUACUAUAAUAUCAUUUCAAGAAUGUCCUUUUAGAAAGAAAUCAACCAUUUAAAAAUUAAAUUGAGCACAUUUAUCCAAUCUACAUCCUGCAGAAUUAUGUUUAAACACCUGUAAUUUGUUGCUGAGGAGCUUCACUACCAAAGGCAGCAGAGAAUGGGUGGCAGAGUCAUGUGUUUGACUUUCUCUUUAAACUGUCAGCUGGCAUUGAGCAGAUGAGCAGGAAGCAUCACAGUUAUCUAAAUCACGUAGAACAACAGACAUUCCUGCUCGCCUCUCGCCUCUCUAACCUCACUCCGGGAGGCGACGAUCAAGCCGACAGCGCAUGACCGCCCUCCGAACACCUCCUGCAGCUGCAGCGCGAGGCUGCUGGGGGAAUGAUCUGAGAGGAACCUGCAGGUCCGUGUAACCAAACAGAACAUGCCGUUUUCCACUCAAGCAAACUCUGUAAGCUGCACAUCUGUCAAGAGAAAUGGCUCAAAGUCGGGGGCUUUUCCUAACAAAGGCUGUUCCCUUUCCCCUGUUUGACUUUGUGGCGGCUGAGCAAAGUCAGGGAACACAAACACACCAGGUAUUUAGGAUGUUUUGACACUGACAAAGCUAUGAAUGGACAGGGCGAAGUUACAAAGCCUAAACAAAGUCUUACAGGCGGGGUUUGGUGUUGACAGCCCCUGGUGUUUACCUCGUCUGCAUGUUCCCCGUCUGCAAGACAAGACUCGGGGUCACAGGUUGUGCAAACACCCAGGACACUCCCUGAGACUUCUGCCGCUGAGUAAACUGUUCCAAUUGGUGGCUUAAUGAGUUUACAGAGCUGGGGAGAGGUGUGGGGGGGUGUGAGCUAAUGAAGCGGCCCCCGGGGGAGGGGGUCCCGCUGUGAGGGGGGCCCUCAGCAGCCCAGAUGUGCAGGGACUCUGCAGGGAGCUCUGCCGUUUCUCAGGAAAGGAGAUUAACUCGGGAGAGCGCGGUGUUAACACAACUGAGGCUUUUCUUAGAGGACUGUCACUCACCAGGAAACAGAAACUACAGUCAGGACAGGGUCAAAGGUCAGGGGGAGCUGCAGUGCGAUAUAAGACACAUUAUCACCCAUUAUAAUGCUGUGUUAUGGUGGGAAACUAAACAUAUUAUCAAAUUAUCUCAAGUUCAGAAUAAAAAAUGUAUCAAUUUCAAAUCAAUUUGCUUUGAGAGGACAUAAAGACUUUAAAAGUGCUAUGUAAAAUCAAUAAAUGUUUCAACUAUAGUCUGAAACACUUGGCAUUUUACUCAACUUUAGGAUCUUCAAGUCUACAGGACUUAAAAAGGUUUGUUUGCAACCCUUUGUAUUGAUGAGCCGCUGAAGGCAUUUUCAGACGUGCUUAAGUUUAAAAAGAUCUCUUUCAGCAGGUUGAACCAACACUGUUUGAUUGUUGAAGUCAACUGGACAUCAUGUGUGUCCUGGAGUUCCAGGCGCUGCGGAAGACUUUGUUUUGGCUCAGAAAUGCCUGGUAUUCCUGUCACAAAGCUCCGCGAGGAACACACACGCUUGGUUUUACAACAGCCCCUCUUAAAGUUUACGACGUGGGCUUUGAUGUUUCGCCCCGCAGACGGAUAUGAGCAGAGACAGUAGCUUUAGGCACAUAACAACAGCUCUAACUGUCAUGUCAGAGAGAGAAGGACUCUGAAAAGAUGCCUUAACUGAAAUAUAUUGAGAAACAAGUGUCAUAUUGUGUUGUCUAAUCUUGUUUCAAUUACAUGUUUACGAGCACUUCUCUGGGAUUGUGUUUACGAGUCUGCUUAUCCCCCUGUUUGUUGUAUAGUCCUGAUUUUAAUGAAGUCUACUGCAGUAAAUAAUGUUUCAAACAUUUAGGACUACAUGUUCUCUAAGAGACUUUUUUGUGGAAGUGAUAAUUAGCAGGACCAAAGCAGGCAAACAUUCAGGGCUCCAAGAAAAAUAUUGUAAAAGGGAUCCUUGUAUUGUUAAACCUCCUGUAAAAAGUUAAUAUAAUGUUGCUCGUCUAGACGCAGCUGUUCUGCCUAAAACGUCUUGUAAAUCUUCCUGUUUUGUGUUUUCUCUCCAAUAUGUGAUUUGUUUUAGCAGAAAUUAACAAUAUACAGACAAAAAGUGAUCUUGAAGGUUUAAAUACAUAUUGGUAAGCAAUAAAUCUGCCAUUGUCAGUCGUAUGUGUAUGUGCAAACUGUGUAUAAGUACAUAAGUCGUGUUAAUACUUUGAUGUCAUUCUAUCGUGAUAUGUAGUUUGUACGAUUCCAGAACAAAUGUCCAUUCAGACACAUUAAAGUAUGUCUUAUCGAG